UGAUAGCUCAGUCAACAGAGCAGGAUAUUCUUAAUCUCAAGGUCAUGGGUUCAAGCCCCUUGUUGGGCAAAA